rnacentral:rRNA from 1 species
CCUACGGGAGGCAGCAGUGAGGAAUAUUGGUCAAUGGCCGGGAGCCUGAACCAGCCAAGUCGCGUGAGGGAAGACGGUCCUAUGGAUUGUAAACCUCUUUUGGCGGGGAGCAAUGCCGGGCACGCGUGCCCGGAGGGAGAGUACCCGCAGAAUAAGCAUCGGCUAACUCCGUGCCAGCAGCCGCGGUAAUACGGAGGAUGCGAGCGUUAUCCGGAUUUAUUGGGUUUAAAGGGUGCGUAGGCGGAUUUUUAAGUCAGCGGUAAAAUUUCGGGGCUCAACCCGGGCCGGCCGUUGAAACUGGGGAUCUUGAGUGGGCGAGAAGUAUGCGGAAUGCGUGGUGUAGCGGUGAAAUGCAUAGAUAUCACGCAGAACUCCGAUUGCGAAGGCAGCAUACCGGCGCCCGACUGACGCUGAGGCACGAAAGCGUGGGGAGCGAACAGGAUUAGAUACCCCUGUAGUC